rnacentral:rRNA from 1 species
CCCUUAGAUGUUCUGGGCCGCACGCGUGCUACACUGAUGCAUUCAACGAGUCUAAAACCUGGUCUGAUAGGGCUGGGUAAUCUUUUGAAAGUGCAUCGUGAUUGGGAUAGAUGAUUGCAAUUCUUCAUCUUCAACGAGGAAUGCCUAGUAAACGCAAGUCAUCAGCUUGCAUUGAUUACGUCCCUGCCCUUUGUACACACCGCCCGUCGCUCCCACCGAUUGAAUGAUCCGAUGAAUACCAUGGAUUGAGAGUACGAAUAGGUUCGCUUAUUUCUGCUGCUCGAGAAGUGGAGUAAAUCUUAUCAUUUAGAGGAAGGAGAAGUCGUAACA